rnacentral:tRNA from 1 species
AAAGCAUUCAGCUUACACCUGAAAGAUAUCUGACAUACCAGAUCGUCUUGA